rnacentral:rRNA from 1 species
CCUACGGGAGGCAGCAGUAGGGAAUCUUCCGCAAUGGACGAAAGUCUGACGGAGCAACGCCGCGUGAACGAUGAAGGCCUUCGGGUCGUAAAGUUCUGUUGUUAGGGAAGAACAAGUGCUAGUUAAAUAAGCUGGCACCUUGACGGUACCUAACCAGAAAGCCACGGCUAACUACGUGCCAGCAGCCGCGGUAAUACGUAGGUGGCAAGCGUUGUCCGGAAUUAUUGGGCGUAAAGCGCGCGCAGGCGGUUUCUUAAGUCUGAUGUGAAAGCCCCCGGCUCAACCGGGGAGGGUCAUUGGAAACUGGGAAACUUGAGUGCAGAAGAGGAAAGUGGAAUUCCAAGUGUAGCGGUGAAAUGCGUAGAGAUUUGGAGGAACACCAGUGGCGAAGGCGACUUUCUGGUCUGUAACUGACGCUGAGGCGCGAAAGCGUGGGGAGCAAACAGGAUUAGAUACCCUGGUAGUCCACGCUGUAAACGAUGAGUGCUAAGUGUUAGAGGGUUUCCGCCCUUUAGUGCUGAAGUUAACGCAUUAAGCACUCCGCCUGGGGAUACGGUCGCAAGACUGAAACUCAAAAGNGUAGUCGGCGUGNGAGAGCGACGACGACGACGACGGAGGAGGAG